UGGUAAAAAUUUCAUCUAUUUGUAUUGUUAAAAUCUGGUGUGACUGAUGAAAUAACUAGACAAUGAGAUAUGACGUGCCACAGUACAUCAUGGUGACGUACAUGGAUCAAUUUCUUUCAAUAGAAAUAGAUAAAAUUUUUAAUA
rnacentral:pre_miRNA from 1 species